AAGUCGUAACAAGGUCUCCGUUGGUGAACCAGCGGAGGGAUCAUUACCGAGUUUUCAACUCCCAAACCCCUGUGAACAUACCAAAACGUUGCCUCGGCGGAUCGCCCCGGUGCCCUCGGGCCCGGAACCAGGCGCCCGCCGGAGGAAAACCAAACUCCAGUCUCCUAGAUGUAUCUUCUGAGUGACAACAAGCAAAUAAAUUAAAACUUUCAACGACGGAUCUCUUGGUUCUG
rnacentral:misc_RNA from 1 species